rnacentral:rRNA from 1 species
AAUACCCUAUUAUUUUAAAAAAAAAUUUAUAAUACCUAAUUAGUAGUAGUUAAGGUCUUGAAAAUUAAAGAAUUUGGCGGUAUUUUAGUCUAUUCAGAGGAAUCUGUCCUAUAAUUGAUAAUCCACGAUUUUUAUUACCUUUUUUAUUAAUUUAUAUAUCGUCGUAGUUUGAAUAUUUUUUAAAAAAAAUAAUGUUCACAAUUUAAUUUUAUAGAAAAAAUCAGAUCAAGGUGUAGUUUAUAAAUAGGAAGAGAUGGAUUACAAUAAAUAUAUUUAUUAUGAAUUAAUUAUUAAAAUAUUUUUAUGAAAGUGGAUUUGAAAGUAAUUUUAUUUA